rnacentral:rRNA from 1 species
GAACUGCGAAUGGCUCAUUACACCAGCCUUAAUUUACUUGACCUUGACACCCUACUUGGAUAACUGUGGUAAUUCUAGAGCUAAUACAUGCACCAAAGCUCCAAUCUCCCCAGAGCGGAGCGCAUUUGUUCGCCACAAAACCAAGCGCCUCAGGGCGUUCAGUGUUGACUCAGAACAACUAAGCUGAUCGCACGGUCAUGCACCGGCGACGUGUCUUUCAAGUGUCUGCCUUAUCAACUUUCGAUGGUAGUGUAUCUGACUACCAUGGUGAUGACGGGUAACGGAGGAUAAGGGUUCGACUCCGGAGAAGGGGCCUGAGAAAUGGCCACUACGUCUAAGGAUGGCAGCAGGCGCGCAAAUUACCCACUCUCGACGCGAGGAGGUAGUGACGAGAAAUAACGAGACCGUUCUCAUCUGAGGCCGGUCAUCGGAAUGGGUACAAUUUAAACCCUUUAACGAGUAUCUAUGAGAGGGCAAGUCUGGUGCCAGCAGCCGCGGUAAUUCCAGCUCUCAAAAUGCAUAGAAUUAUUGCUGCGGUUAAAAAGCUCGUAGUUGGAUCUGUGCUGGGCGACCGGUCUGCCCACUGGGCACGCGCUGGCUCGCCCGGCUUUCCCUGCCGGUCUCUCUCUGACGUUGGUUUUAACCGGCUGGCGUCAGUGGGCUGGCGAGUUUACUUUGAACAAAUCAGAGUGCUUCAAACAGGCGUCUCGCCUGAAUGUUCGUGCAUGGAAUAAUAGAAGAGGAUCACGGUCCGAUUUUAUUGGUUUUGCUGACCGAGAUAAUGGUUAACAGAGACAAACGGGGCCAUUCGUAUUGCUACGUGAGAGGUGAAAUUCUUGGACCGUAGCAAGACGGACUACAGCGAAAGCAUUUGGCAAGAAUGUCUUCAUUAAUCAAGAACGAAAGUCAGAGGUUCGAAGGCGAUCAGAUACCGCCCUAGUUCUGACCGUAAACGAUGCCAACUAGCGAUCCGCCGGCGGAUUCAUUCGCCCUGGUGGGGAGCUUCCCGGAAACGAAAGUCUUCCGGUUCCGGGGGAAGUAUGGUUGCAAAGCUGAAACUUAAAGGAAUUGACGGAAGGGCACCACCAGGAGUGGAGCCUGCGGCUUAAUUUGACUCAACACGGGGAAACUCACCCGGCCCGGACACCGUAAGGAUUGACAGAUUGAUAGCUUUUUCAUGAUUCGGUGGAUGGUGGUGCAUGGCCGUUCUUAGUUCGUGGAGCGAUUUGUCUGGUUUAUUCCGAUAACGAGCGAGACUCUGGCCUACUAAAUAGUUGGCACAUUGCCACUGUGUGCACAACUUCUUAGAGGGAUUUUCGGUGUUCAGCCGCACGAAAUUGAGCAAUAACAGGUCUGUGAUGCCCUUAGAUGUCCGGGGCUGCACGCGCGCUACACUGGCAAAAUCAGCGUGCUUGUCCUCCCCCGAAAGGGGUUGGUAAACCGAUGAAAAUUUGCCGUGAUUGGGAUCGGACAUUGCAAUUAUUGUCCGUGAACGAGGAAUCCCUUGUAAGGGCGAGUCAUCAACUCGUCCUGAAUACGUCCCUGCCCUUUGUACACACCGCCCGUCGCUGCCCGGGACUGAGCCAUUUCGAGAAAACCGGGGAUUGUUGGCCUGACGGCUCUCGGGUCGUCUAGCCGAUGAGAACCGGCUUAAUCGCACUGGUUUGAACCGGGCAAAAGUCGUAACAAGGUAGCUGUAGGUGAACCUGCAGCUGGAUCA